CAUAUCAAUAAGCGGAGGAAAAGAAACCAACAGGGAUUGCCCUAGUAACGGCGAGUGAAGCGGCAACAGCUCAAAUUUGAAAUCUGGCCCUCGGGUCCGAGUUGUAAUUUGUAGAGGAUGCUUUUGGUGAGGUACCUUCCGAGUUCCCUGGAACGGGACGCCAUAGAGGGUGAGAGCCCCGUCUGGUUGGAUACCGAGCCUCUGUAAAGCUCCUUCGACGAGUCGAGUAGUUUGGGAAUGCUGCUCUAAAUGGGAGGUAUAUGUCUUCUAAAGCUAAAUACCGGCCAGAGACCGAUAGCGCACAAGUAGAGUGAUCGAAAGAUGAAAAGCACUUUGAAAAGAGAGUUAAAAAGUACGUGAAAUUGUUGAAAGGGAAGCGCUUAUGACCAGACUUGGGCUUGGUUGAUCAUCCUGGGUUCUCCCUGGUGCACUCUUCCAGUUCAGGCCAGCAUCAGUUCGCUGCGGGGGAUAAAAGUUUUGGGAAUGUGGCUCCCUCGGGAGUGUUAUAGCCCAUUUCAUAAUACCCUGCUCCGGACUGAGGUUCGCGCAUCUGCAAGGAUGCUGGCGUAAUGGUCAUCAGCGACCCGUCUUGAAACACGGACCAAGGAGUCGUCUUCGUAUGCGAGUGUUCGGGUGUUAAACCCCUACGCGUAAUGAAAGUGAACGCAGGUGAGAGCUUCGGCGCAUCAUCGACCGAUCCUGAUGUUCUCGGAUGGAUUUGAGUAAGAGCAUACGGGGCCGGACCCGAAAGAAGGUGAACUAUGCCUGUAUAGGGUGAAGCCAGAGGAAACUCUGGUGGAGGCUCGCAGCGGUUCUGACGUGCAAAUCGAUCGUCAAAUAUGGGCAUGGGGGCGAAAGACUAAUCGAACCUUCUAGUAGCUG
rnacentral:rRNA from 1 species